rnacentral:rRNA from 1 species
UACGGGGGGAGCAAGCGUUGUUCGGAUUUACUGGGCGUAAAGGGCGCGUAGGCGGCGCCGCAAGUCGACUGUGAAAUCUCCGGGCUUAACCCGGAAAGGUCAGCCGAUACUGCGGGGCUAGAGUGCAGAAGGGGCAACUGGAAUUCUCGGUGUAGCGGUGAAAUGCGUAGAUAUCGAGAGGAACACCUGCGGCGAAGGCGACUUUCUGGACUGUAACUGACGCUGAGGCGCGAAAGCGUGGGGAGCAAACAGG